GGAUCAUAGCUAAGUGGUAGAGCAUCUGUUUUGCACACAAGAAGUCCCAGGUUCAGUCCCCAGCAGCACCU
rnacentral:tRNA from 1 species